rnacentral:rRNA from 1 species
ACGGCUCAGUAACACGUUGUUAACUUGCCUUUAGGUCCGUGAUAGCCUUGGGAAACUGAGGGUAAUAACGGAUGUGGGAAUUGUUCUGGAAAUGAUUUUUCCUUCAAAGUUUCGGCGCCUAAAGAUAGGACAGCGGCGGACUAGGUUGUUGGCGGGGUAAUGGCCCACCAAGCUUAUGAUCCGUACGGGCCUGUGAGAGCGGUAGCCCGGAGAGGGACACUGAGAAACUGGUCCCAGCCCUACGGGGUGCAGCAGGCGCCGAAACCUUUACAAUGCACGAAAGUGUGAUAAGGGAACCCCAAGUGCUCAAGUAUAACUUGGGCUUUUGCCAAGUGUAAAGAGCUUGGCGAAUAAGUGGUGGGUAAGACUGGUGCCAGCAGCCGCGGUAACACCAGCGCCACGAGUAGGAACCAGCUUUAUUUGCCUAAAGCGUCGGAGCUGGUCUAGAAAAUCUUUUGUAAAUCAUCGGGCUCAACCUGAUGGCGUGCAGAAGACACUACUAGACUCGAGACCGGGAGGAGUUAGAGGUAUUCUGAGGGGAGCGGUAAAAUGCUAUAAUCCUCAGAGGACCACCUGUGGCGAAGGCGUCUAACUAGAACGGUUCUGACAGUGAGGGACGAAAGCUAGGGGAGCGAUCCGGAUUAGAUUCUAAAAAUUAUCCUGAGAUUUGAAAGUAAGUCAGAAUUGCAUCGUUUGCAAUCUACUAAAUUCUGAAUGAGAUCAAAUUUUGUUAAAUGUUGAUUUUUAGCUAAUUACCCGAGUAGUCCUAGCCGUAAACGCUGCGAGCAAGGCGUUGCAUGUUCUACGUGAAUAUGCAGUGUCGAAACGAAGGUGUUAAGCUCGCCGCCUGGGAAGUAUGGUCGCAAGACUGAAACUUAAAGGAAUUGGCGGGGGAGCAC